UUACCUCAGGUCAGAGAAGACUACCCGCUGGACUUAAGCAUAUCACUAAGCGGAGGAAAAGAAACUAACUAGGAUUCCCCCAGUAACUGCGAGUGAAGAGGGAAGAGCUCAUCAUUGGAAUCUGGCAGUGUUGCACUGUCCGAGUUGUAGAUGAGGAGUAGUCCGUCUGGACUGCAUGGCGUCCAAGUACAAUAGGCCGUCAGUGGGACAUCAUAGAGGGUGACAAUCCCGUCCUUGAUGCCAAUGUGCAAGUCCGUUACGAUGGCUAUCUCAGAGAGUCGAGCAGUUUGGGAUUUGCUGCUUAAACAUGGGAGGUAGAUUCCUUCUAAAGCUAAAUACAGGCGAGAGACCGAUAGAGAACAAGUACCGCAAGGGAAAGAUGAAAUAGAACUCUGUGAAGGGAGUCAAAAGGCGUGAAAUUGUUGCGAGAGAAGCGAUUCAAGUCAGCGUAGCUAGGCCCAUCAAGCGUCUUCGCUUUGGACUAGCUUUGCCAGCGGUCUUGUCCUUAGAGACUUGACUUUGUAUAUGUGUCCAGCCUGGUAUGCACAGGUAGCCCCUCUGGGGGCCAGUGGCACAGCUGGUGGAAUGGCUUGCAAUCGACCCGUCUUGAAACACGGACCAAGGAGUCUAACAUGUAUGCGAGUAUAAGGGUGGCAAACCCGUAUGCGCAAUGAAAGUGAUUUUCGGUGAUUGAGAAUGGCCUGAUGACCAGACAAGCAAUACAUGUCCCUCGGACGGCCAUUGCCCAAGUUCCGUGGUAGAUCCCAUGAACAUGGAGUUGGAGCAUACAUGCUAGGACCCGAAAGAUGGUGAACUAUGCCUGGACAAAGCGAAGCCAAAGGAAACUCUGGUGGAGGCUUGUAGCGAUUCUGACGUGCAAAUCGAUCGUCUGAUCUGGGUAUAGGGGCGAAAGACUAAUCGAACC
rnacentral:rRNA from 1 species